UUAGAUACCCUAUUAUUUUAAGCUAUAUAUUGGUAGUAAUUAAUAAUUUAUGAAAUCAUAAGAUUUUGGCGGUAUUUUAAGCUUAUUAGAGGAAUUUGCUCUGUAAUGGAUACAACGCCUUAAUCUUACUUAAUUUGGUUUAAAAGUCAGUUUGUAUACCACUAUAUUUAAUUAUAUUGAAUAAUUAUAUUUAAGAUUUUUUUUUAUAAAAAAUAUAUUAAGUCAAGGUGCAAUUUAUAAUUAUGAAUGAAGUGAAUUACAUUAAUUUUAAUUUUACUUAAAUAUUGAAAAAAAAAUUAUAGGAUUUAAUAGUAAAAUGUUAAUAUU
rnacentral:rRNA from 1 species